rnacentral:misc_RNA from 1 species
AGGCACAGAGGAAGCACCGCAGCACCUAGCUCGACUGCAAGGCCGAAAAGAAAUAUUUUAUCCUCUCUUCCCCCUUCCUGUCUUUUUCCUCAUUGAAUCUUUUCUUUUUCCCUCACAUCGACCAAAAUCCUUUAAGCAGGAAAACAUCCUACAAUAACGAAGUUUACAGAUAAGCAAACAAACCUGAGAGUUAAUUCCUAGAAAACUGUCCCAAUAGAAGUGCUUUAUGCUGAAACAAAGGGAUGCCACAUACGGAGUACGAGUACCAGGAGGGGCUCAAAGUACAGCUGGAAGGGAAGCCAGAAGAGGACACUGAAUUUCCUGUACUGAAGCUACAGAUGGUUGUGAGCCACCAUGCUGGGAACCAAACCUGGGCCUUCUGGAAGAGCAGCCAGUCCUCGUCACCACAGAGCAUCCUACCAGUCCCUCUUGGAAGUAUUCCCUUUAGCAUCCUUUACACUUAUUGCCCCCAACUAGGACCACUUCAGACGGCACGCUGAAGGUCAAUGCAGAACAUGGAUAACCUUGUCUUCUUCGGUGAAUUUUGUUUUCUCCAAUUCAGAAUUAUUUUGGCUAUUGGUCUGUUUCUUCUGCCCUCAGUUCUGUCUGGACUUUUUUUUUUUUUUUUUACUGCUCCAGUGGAUGGAAGGGGACUUUAUUUGGUCCCGGGGUCACAUGCCAGGUAUGACCCCAGCUUUAUUUGACCUUCUUGGGGCGCAGGUUGUUGGUAUGGCCGCACUUCUUGCCGCAGUUGACUGCAUGAGGGUGCAGGCGUGCGUAGCACUUGCGGCAGAUCAUCUUGUCACAGUUGUACUUCUGGGCAAGCUGACGAAGGGAUGGCUCAAUGAUGCCACCGCGCAGACGCAGCACCAGGUGCAAGGUGGACUCUUUCUGGAUGUUGUAGUCGGACAGGGUGCGGCCAUCCUCCAGCUGUUUGCCCGAGAAUAUCAGCCUCUGCUGGUCAGGUGGGAUGCCUUCCUUGUCUUGGAUCUUGGCCUUGACAUUCUUGAUGGUGUCACUGGGCUCGACCUCAAGAGUGAUGGUCUUGCCCGUCAGGGUCUUCACGAAGAUCUGCACGUUGGCGUCUGCCGCUCGGCCACCUCGUUGAAGAGAAAGAGAAAGCCUGUCUGGACUUUUAUCAUGAGGGAGAAUGUUCCACUUUAUAAAAGGCCUUUCUGCCGUCAAAAAAAAAAAAAAAAAAAAAA